rnacentral:lncRNA from 1 species
CGGCCAUUCCUUCACUUAUGAUAAUUCAGCAAACAACACAGAUAAACAUAAUUCAAAUCUUUGAUUGCAGGAAACGGAAUUUAGCGGAGUUGCCUACAUGACAGGGGGAUUAGAGGGUGGCACCGAGCCUGCCUGGGGAACAAGAGUCAUCACCCAGGACGUGGCAUACACGUGCAGCCUUGGAGGAUGACUAGAACUUUCCCGGGUGGGUAGAUCCAGGAAAUGAGAACAGCUUGAGCAAAGUCACGGUGCAUUCAGGACGUGAGUCCCUCACUCCAACCGGGGUACGUGUUGCACAAGGGAAGGGAACAAAAGAUGAUGCAGGGCAUGAUCUUGUGAAAGACCCCAAGUGCCUUUGUGCGGCUGAGGUGGGUGGAUCACCUGAGAAACUCCGUCUCAAAAAAAAAAAAAAAAACAAACACGAGUGCCAUGCUAAGGAGUGUGGACUCGACCCUGAUGGUCGAGAGGGAUGGUUAAGCAAAGAAUUGAUACCUGUGGAUCCGAAGGGCUGUUCUAAUUCGUGGCAUGGAAAAGUGAUUCAGAAGUUGGCUGCAACUGGAAGAUCAGGGAGGAUCUGUUAGGAAAGAGAAAACAGGGCUAGGCCCAGUGGCUCACUUUGGGAGGUCAAGGCAGGCAGGUCACUAGAGGUCAGGAGUUCGAGACCAAGCCAGGCCAACAGGGUGAGACCUUUUCUCUACUAAAAAUACAAAAAUUAGCCAGGUGUGGUGGCACGCAUCUGUAAUCCCAGCUACUCGGAAACCCAAGGCAGGAGAAUUGCUUGAACCAGGGAGGCGGAGGUUGCAGUGAGCCGAGAUCGCGCCACUGCACUCCAGCCUGGGCAACAGAACGAGACUCUUUCUCAGAAAGAAAAGAGGAAACAGGACUCAGGGGAAAGAGAAGGAUUUCCAAGGUGGAGGUGCAUCUGUGGUGCCCAGUUGCAUUCGAGGGUGCUGGAAAGAGAAUUAAUCUGGAAUGAAUCUUCCUGAUUUCGGCACUGGGCCAGCUCCAUUCCCAGAAAGGGUGGGGAGGCUUGGGUUAGAAAUAACAGCUUGAGCUUGGGACAGGUUGAGUUGGAAUGGUUGGUGGAACUGUUCAGGAGGCAGUAGAAAAUAUGGUUCUGGGCUGGGUGUGGUGUGGUGGCUCAUGCCUGUAAUUCCAGCAUUUUGGGAGGCCAAGGCUCACUUGAGCCCAGGAGUGUUCGACACCAGCCUGGGCAACAUAGCAAGAGUCCCAUGUCUACACAGAUAAAAUAAAUUAACUGAGCAUUGUGGUACACACCUGUAGUCCCAGCUACUCAAGAGGCUGGGGCAGGAGUUUCACUUGAAGCCCAUAGCUUGAGACCAGCCUGGGUAACACAGCUAGAGUCCCAUCUCUACAAAGCUUUUUUUUUUUUUUUACCUUAAAAAAAUUUAAAGUUUUUUU